rnacentral:rRNA from 1 species
CUCAGGACGAACGCUGGCGGCGUGCCUAAUACAUGCAAGUCGAGCGGACAGAUGGGAGCUUGCUUCCUGAUGUCAGCGGCGGACGGGUGAGUAACACGUGGGUAACCUGCCUGUAAGACUGGGAUAACUCCGGGAAACCGGGGCUAAUACCGGAUGCUUGAUUGAACCGCAUGGUUCAAUUAUAAAAGGUGGCUUUUAGCUACCACUUACAGAUGGACCCGCGGCGCAUUAGCUAGUUGGUGAGGUAACGGCUCACCAAGGCAACGAUGCGUAGCCGACCUGAGAGGGUGAUCGGCCACACUGGGACUGAGACACGGCCCAGACUCCUACGGGAGGCAGCAGUAGGGAAUCUUCCGCAAUGGACGAAAGUCUGACGGAGCAACGCCGCGUGAGUGAUGAAGGUUUUCGGAUCGUAAAACUCUGUUGUUAGGGAAGAACAAGUACCGUUCGAAUAGGGCGGUACCUUGACGGUACCUAACCAGAAAGCCACGGCUAACUACGUGCCAGCAGCCGCGGUAAUACGUAGGUGGCAAGCGUUGUCCGGAAUUAUUGGGCGUAAAGCGCGCGCAGGCGGUUUCUUAAGUCUGAUGUGAAAGCCCCCGGCUCAACCGGGGAGGGUCAUUGGAAACUGGGGAACUUGAGUGCAGAAGAGGAGAGUGGAAUUCCACGUGUAGCGGUGAAAUGCGUAGAGAUGUGGAGGAACACCAGUGGCGAAGGCGACUCUCUGGUCUGUAACUGACGCUGAGGCGCGAAAGCGUGGGGAGCGAACAGGAUUAGAUACCCUGGUAGUCCACGCCGUAAACGAUGAGUGCUAAGUGUUAGAGGGUUUCCGCCCUUUAGUGCUGCAGCAAACGCAUUAAGCACUCCGCCUGGGGAGUACGGUCGCAAGACUGAAACUCAAAGGAAUUGACGGGGGCCCGCACAAGCGGUGGAGCAUGUGGUUUAAUUCGAAGCAACGCGAAGAACCUUACCAGGUCUUGACAUCCUCUGACAACCCUAGAGAUAGGGCUUCCCCUUCGGGGGCAGAGUGACAGGUGGUGCAUGGUUGUCGUCAGCUCGUGUCGUGAGAUGUUGGGUUAAGUCCCGCAACGAGCGCAACCCUUGAUCUUAGUUGCCAGCAUUCAGUUGGGCACUCUAAGGUGACUGCCGGUGACAAACCGGAGGAAGGUGGGGAUGACGUCAAAUCAUCAUGCCCCUUAUGACCUGGGCUACACACGUGCUACAAUGGGCAGAACAAGGGCAGCGAAGCCG